CAGCAGCCGCGGUAAUACGUAGGUGGCAAGCGUUAUCCAGAAUUAUUGGGCGUAAAGCGCGCGUAGGCGGUUUUUUAAGUCUGAUGUGAAAGCCCACGGCUCAACCGUGGAGGGUCAUUGGAAACUGGAAAACUUGAGUGCAGAAGAGGAAAGUGGAAUUCCAUGUGUAGCGGUGAAAUGCGCAGAGAUAUGGAGGAACACCAGUGGCGAAGGCGACUUUCUGGUCUGUAACUGACGCUGAUGUGCGAAGGCGUGGGGAUCAAACAGGAUUAGAUACCCCUGUAGUCCCUGUCUCUUAUAC
rnacentral:rRNA from 1 species